AGAGGUCUCAAGCGUUGUUCGGAUUCAUUGGGCGUAAAGGGUGCGUAGGCGGCGCGGUAAGUCGGGUGUGAAAUCUCGGAGCUUAACUCCGAAACUGCAUUCGAUACUGCCGUGCUUGAGGACUGGAGAGGAGACUGGAAUUUACGGUGUAGCGGUGAAAUGCGUAGAUAUCGUAAGGAAGACCAGUGGCGAAGGCGGGUCUCUGGACAGUUCCUGACGCUGAGGCACGAAGGUCAGGGGAGCAAACGGGAUUAGAUACCCCGGUAGUCCUGACAGUAAACGGUGCACGUUUGGUGUGGGAGGAUUCGACCCCUUCUGCGCCGGAGCUAACGCGUUAAACGUGCCGCCUGGGGAGUACGGUCGCAANNNUA
rnacentral:rRNA from 1 species